UCUCUCUAAGGAAAUUUUCCCAGUUGUUUGUUUAGUGAGAUACAGGAGAAAAUUAGUGGUACUGGGUAGAGAAUUUUAGUGGAUUUUGUUUCCGGGAAAGUUGGAAAUCAUAAGAUAUAUAAGAUCGCGUUCUUUCGUGGUUUUACGUUUUUCGCAGCUCAAACUUGGAUUGUUCUAGCGUUGUUUGUCUGUGAAUAUAGAUUGUUUUCUCAAUUUCGGUGAACUCUCAAGUUCAUAAUCUUAGUGUGUUUUUAUGAAGAGUCGUGAUAUUGGAACUAACUGAAAAUUUUGCUUGAAUCUCCAGUUGCUUCAUUGCCUCCAUAAUCAUUCUGGUUUUGUUCAUGUUAUUAACGUAGAUUAUUAACGUAGUUUUGUUCAUAUUGUAAUCAUUCUGGUUUUGUGUUCAAGUUCUCUGUGUUUGAUGUUGCUUUUAAUUGGAUUUGUAUUUGUUUCUAUAGCCAUUAUGUAAUUAUCAGAUGUAAAGUAUGUUGGUUCAGCAAUUCAUCAGUUUGUUUGGUGGCAACUUUUGGUUUCAUGCAUCAACUACACGGAUUUUGUAUUGUCGACCUCAUUCGUUCUUUCAAUCUCCAUCUCCCCAUCGAAGCAGAAAAAAGAAGGAAAA